GUUGGAUGCAUAUGGUGAAGAGGAUCUUGAUAUGUUAAGGGGAAGGCCAUUGUAUCUAAAUGAGGAACGCUAUAAAGGGCUUGCAUACUUGGUGGCAUCACAUGGUCUUGAUCAUACUUCUGAAAUUCUUCGACAGACAACCAUAAGUCUUUUUGGUUCUAAUUAGAGACACUGUCAAGGUUUUGGUCAACUAUCUAUGUAUUUUGGAAAGAACUGAAACUUUACCGUGGAUUGAAACACCGCAUGCAGAAGGGUGGUAUUUACUCUUCAAUGUAAGCGUGCUGCGUACCACUGAAUAUAUACAGUUAGAUGGCUCAACUCUUGGCUGGUUGUUCAUAGACUAGCACUUGUUAAAGCCAACUGGCCCAAUAUGCUGUACAGCAAAGUCCAUCUUCUCAUAUACCAACUUGUUUUAUUUAUGAAAAAUUAAACUUGAUGAUUUCAAAUUUAUUAUGCAAGUUGAAUGUAAAUUAUGCCUGAAUAUUUUUCUUUUCUGUAUAGUGGUAAAGCUGCAAAUUUUUCCA